CGCCUGUUUAUCAAAAACAUGUCUUUUUGAGUUCAUUUUAAAGUCUGACCUGCCCACUGAUUUAUUAAAUGGCCGCAGUAUUUUGACUGUGCAAAGGUAGCAUAAUCAUUAGUCUUUUAAUUGAAGGCUGGAAUGAAUGGUUGGACGAAAUAUAAACUGUUUCAAUAUUAUUAUGGUAGUAAUUUUAUUUUUAGUUAAAAAGUCUUAAAAUUUUUUGAAAGACGAGAAGACCCUAUAAUCUUUAUAAUUAGUUUAUUAUUAUUUUUAAGUAUUUUAUUUUAUUUUUAAUAAAUUUAAUUAUUUUAUUUAGGGGUUGGUAUAUUAAAAUUUAAAUUAGUAACUUUUAAUUUAAUUUUUACUAUUUAAUUAAUUGAAUAAUUGAUCCAUUAUUAGUGAUUAUAAGAUUAAGUUACUUUAGGGAUAACAGCGUAAUUUUUUUGGAGAGUUCAUAUCGAUAAAAAAGAUUGCGACCUCGAUGUUGGAUUAAGAUAUAAUUUUGGGUGCAGCAAUUCAAAUUUCAAGUCUGUUCGACUUUUAAAUUCUUACAUGAUCUGAGUUCAAACCGGAGAGACCAAGUCUCUGCUACCAUA
rnacentral:rRNA from 1 species